GACGAACGCUGGCGGCGUGCUUAACACAUGCAAGUCGAACGGUAAGGCCCUUCGGGGUACACGAGUGGCGAACAGGUGAGUAACGCGUGGGUGAUCUGCCCUGCACUUCGGGAUAAGCCUGGGAAACUGGGUCUAAUACCGGAUAGGACAACUGCCUGCAUGGGUGGUGGUGGAAAGCUUUUGCGGUGUGGGAUGGGCCCGCGGCCUAUUAGCUUGUUGGUGGGGUGAUGGCCUACCAAGGCGACGACGGGUAGCCGGCCUGAGAGGGUGACCGGCCACACUGGGACUGCGAUACGGCCCAGACUCCUACGGGAGGCAGCAGUGGAGAAUAUUGCACAAUGGGCGCAAGCCUGAUGCAGCGACGCCGCGUGAGGGAUGACGGCCUUCGGGUUGUAAACCUCUUUCAGCACCGACGAAGCGCAAGUGACGGUAGGUGCAGAAGAAGGACCGGCCAACUACGUGCCAGCCGCCGCGGUAA
rnacentral:rRNA from 1 species